rnacentral:piRNA from 1 species
UAUUGAACUGUGUGUUGCUGUUGC